GCCAGUGUGGUAUAGUGGCUUGAGUGCUGGAUUAUAACCCUGGAGACCAGGGUUCGAAUCUCCGCUCAGCCC